UACGGAGGGGGCUAGCGUUGUUCGGAAUUACUGGGCGUAAAGCGCACGUAGGCGGCUUUGUAAGUUAGAGGUGAAAGCCCAGGGCUUAACCCUGGAAUUGCCUUUAAGACUGCAUCGCUAGAAUCGUGGAGAGGUGAGUGGAAUUCCGAGUGUAGAGGUGAAAUUCGUAGAUAUUCGGAAGAACACCAGUGGCGAAGGCGACUCACUGGACACGUAUUGACGCUGAGGCGCGAAAGCCAGGGGAGCGAACGGG
rnacentral:rRNA from 1 species